GACGUAGGUGGCGAACGUUUAUCCGGAAUUAUUGGGCGUAAAGGGUGCGUAGGUGGCUUGAAAAGUUAUCAGUGGCAAAUCGAGGCUUAACCUCGCGGAAACUGGUAAUACUGUUUGGCUCGAGUGCAGGAGAGGUUAACGGAACUCUAUGUGGAGCGGUAAAAUGCACAGAUAUAUAGAAGAACACCAAUAACGGCGAAGGCAGUUAACUAUUCUGUUACUGACACUGAGGCACGAAAGCGUGGGGAGCAAAACGG
rnacentral:rRNA from 1 species